GACGAACGCUGGCGGCGUGCUUAACACAUGCAAGUCGAACGGAAAGGCCCUGCUUUUGUGGGGUGCUCGAGUGGCGAACGGGUGAGUAACACGUGAGUAACCUGCCCUUGACUUUGGGAUAACUUCAGGAAACUGGGGCUAAUACCGGAUAGGAGCUCCUGCUGCAUGGUGGGGGUUGGAAAGUUUCGGCGGUUGGGGAUGGACUCGCGGCUUAUCAGCUUGUUGGUGGGGUAGUGGCUUACCAAGGCUUUGACGGGUAGCCGGCCUGAGAGGGUGACCGGCCACAUUGGGACUGAGAUUCGGCCCAGGCUCCUACGGGAGGCAGCAGUGGGGAAUAUUGCACAAUGGGCGGAAGCCUGAUGCAGCAACGCCGCGUGCGGGAUGGCGGCCUUCGGGUUGUAAACCGCUUUCGCCUGUGACGAAGCGUGAGUGACGGUAAUGGGUAAAGAAGGAACGGCUAACUACGUG
rnacentral:rRNA from 1 species